CUGACAACGAGCCUCGGUUAAGGUUAGGCAUACCAAACCGCGUGCGUGAGUUAUCAUAAAAUUAAUCGCCUCUGGGGUGAUGUGGCUGGCUGCCAUGAUCA
rnacentral:antisense_RNA from 1 species